rnacentral:lncRNA from 1 species
CGCGCCAUUUAUAAACAACGGAUAUUUAUAGCAGAUGACUCAUUGUGAUGGAAAAGUUUCAGAGAUUGUCCUGUCAGAUGCUCCGAUCGUUCGGUAGGUAAAUACAUUAGCCCUGUACGUUUAUAAUGUAAAAUUUUAUCUUUCUCUUGAAAACGUACGUAAAUAAAUUGGAGCUUUUCAGAGAACAUACUUGAAAACUUCGUUGAAAUGAUCCCAAAAUUUUAGCUUGACCUGGCUUUCUAAUGCAUAGCGCGAACCAGGUAAACUAUAGAUGUUGAUACUUUUUACGGAAUAAGUCGACAAAGUUGUGACAUACUUUGUAACAUUUCCUCAUGUACGAUUUGUGUAAUUCCGUGAAAAUGAAAGGCAUUUGUGUUGCCCAAAAUGUAAACAAACAUCGCAAAAAGUAUGGCAGCCCAGCACCAAAAAAAGACGUGUACGUUAGAUAUUUAUUACUUUGGAUUGUUAAAAGUAAUAAAGAAACAUCUACGCCAAAUAAAAACAGAAUACUCUAUGUAAUAUCUGAUUGAAAUGGAGACCUGAGUUGUUUGUCAGACUGUCUAUUUAUAUCCCGAGAACCUACAGUCUGUUUCUUAUUUUUUAACUUUCACUUUACUGGGUUUUUUUAACUCUGCUUCAAGAAAACAGUUUCAUUAGACUCAGAUUUUAUACAGCUGUAUUUGUUUAUAAAUUUGAUUUCAUGAAGUGUUCUCCUUUUUGAUAAUAUGAAUAAGUAUUUGUUUGUCCUUAUAUUAGAUGAAUGGCUAAGAUUAAAGAAUAUUUUUUUUAAAUCAUGUGCACUUUAAAAAAGAGACCACAAAAACAACUCAUUUAAAAAAAAAUGACCAAAUAAACUAAUAAAGAUACUGCUACAGACAAAAAAUACUUCAUUUAAUGUAUAAUGAUACACUAUAAUUUAUCAAUAAUCCAGUAGAUAAUGGUGGGUGUUAAUUAGACUCAGCAAGUGAAAACAAAGGCCAAGUUUUAAUAUAUUAAAUUAAAUUUUGUAUUCCUUAUGCUAUACAUCUUGAGAUAGAAUUAUUAUAAUUUCUGUUUAGAUUUAAUAACAGCCGCUGUACAAAAGGCACAAGAAUUAAGAAAAUAUGAUGAUGUCAUUUGCUUUUUCAAUUAUUUGUAAGUAAUAUUAUGCAUUAUAUAAAUAUUUGUGUCAAUACAUGUAUCAAAUAUCUACUAUAUUAAACCUUAAAGCAAGUCCCCAAUACAAAAAACACAUUUAAAGUUGUCCAAUUUGUCAAUUAUUCUGUCACAUGUGUGAUUUAUGUCAACGGUUAAUUGCCACUUUCAGCAUUAUGUACUGUUUCGUAGUAGUCGGUUUUUAUUGGUUGAGUGAGAAAAUAAUGCUUGUAGAGAACCAAGAUCCAAGAUAUUAAAACUAACAAGCUUAUAGUCAAUCAAAAUUGUAGUCAAACUAAAAGGCUAAGUGUGUGCUUCGAAAUUCACAACAUUUGUGUUGAGAGGAUAGUGAUAGAGAAGUUUAGUGAAAAAGUAACACAAUAAUGUGGCAUAGAAAAACAUAUAGUCUUUAUCUAUAGCACAAGUUAAGUAAAACAAUGCUGUGUUCCCGUUUUCUUACUUUAGUUUGCCUCAAACAAAUGUUUUAAAACGAAUAGGUACACAAUGUUUAUUACCACAAAACACAGAUCAAGCAAUUACUUAAUCUGUUGGUUUAAUUCUCUUUCUCUUGUUUGCUUCGCCUAAAUGUUAUGAAAUUUAUACACAAGGCUUACAAUUAUAAAAGGGCCUUAAUGAAAUGAAUCCUGCAUCUGUAUAUGGUGCGUAUUGUAACAGGCAGGGUAUUUGCGUCCCCAAAACACAUUCUCAAUUUAAUUAAACCAUGUUCAUUUACAAGAAUAACCUAGUACAGAAUAACCUCCUGUCUGAAAUCGCCUUCAAUUUUAUUUUUCAACUUUGAAUUAAUUUGAAGAAUUAACUAAAUUGAAGAAAGCGGGGGUGUUAUGUUUUCUUUACAAAUACAAUGUAUUCUGAUCCCAAAUUUGAAAAAUAAAAUUAUUCUCGAUGCUCACAUUUUUUUCUUUUUAUUCCAUUUCCAUAACAAUAUAAAGUUAGUGUUAUAAAAUAAAAUAAAAAUAAGCUGAUUAAUCGUGUCAAAAAAAUAAAUAAAUUUGUUUGUGCUUUACACAUCCAAUAUUUUUGACGGAGAAAAAAACCGAAAAUAUUCAUAUGCCCCACUUACGAUACUAGAGGGGUAUUAUGUAUUCUGGUCUGUUUGUCCGUCUGUCCCGUUUCAGGUUAAAGUUUUUGGUCAAUGUAGUAUUUGAUGAAAUUGCAGUCCAAUCAAUUCGAAAUAUAGGACACAUGUUCCCUUAUGAUAUGAUCUUUCUAAUUUUAAUGCCAAAUAAGAUGUUUGAUCCCAAUUUCACGGUCCACUGAACAUACAUGUAGAAAAUGAUAGUGUGAGUGAGACAUCAAUGUACUAUUGGCACAUUCUUGAUAGAUUUGUAUUGUUAAGUUGCUUCAUUACUGAUGUAUUAUAUCAUUUAACCCAUAAUUGAUUAUUUGUCUUAUAUUUUUAUAUGGUUAUUGCCUGUCCUUCUUGUGCCCCGUAUAUGAGAACACACACACUCAUGCACAUAAAAAACCUCAUAUACAUUUUUGAAAGUCAUGUGAUACAUAUGAAUUAUUUCAAUUGAGUAUUUUAUUUAUUUUUGAAGUAGAAUGGAGGAUUAUUCUUGACCAGUUGGACUAUGCUCAGCUCUACUGAUAUGAUAGAUAUACUGAUGUCUAACUUGGAGAUCUUGAUUAGGUUGGAAAAUGUAUCAGGUAGGUGGUUAUUCAUACAUAUCAUGAAUCAAAUAUAAUGUAGAAAAAAACAUUGACAUUAGUCAUAUAAAAAACAUGAUCAUAUAAUCAAAAUUAAAAACAUUUUGAGAGUAAUAGUGAAAUAAAUAACUUUAAAUGGCCUUAACAAUUACUAAGUAGAUGUAUUCAUGUAUGUUGUUGAAUUAUGCUGAAAGUAUUUACUAGUUCAUUUGACUGGAAAAAACUGAUCAAUAUUUCAGGUUUUACAAAACAGACUAGAAAAAUUGCAAGAUAGCAAUUAUGGAAGAGUCACAGUUGAAAAACCAUAAAUCUAUAAAACAGCUACUCAUAACAUUUUUUUUAAUCCAUUUGAUAUUUGUUGUCUUGAUCUUAAACUACCAGUAAGCUUUAUAUAAUUAAAUAUAGAAACAACCAAACAGCACACUCUUAUUUCAACAAUUUUAUUUUUUGUAUUUUGUGUUUUUUCAGAUGUAGAAGUAGAAGAAACAACAGUGAAAAAAGAAUGAGAGUCAUCAUUUUAAUAAACUUUUAACUUGAAAUUGAAAUAAAUCUAAUUUUUCUUUAUGUAUUUCAAAUAUGAGCAUUGGGAUAAACUUUAAUGAGACAGCAAGCCAACAGCACAAUCACAAAAGCUAUUUGGAGGUCUACUUAA